rnacentral:rRNA from 1 species
AACGAACGCUGGCGGCGUGCCUAACACAUGCAAGUCGAACGGAAUUAGAGAGCUUGCUCUUUGAUUUAGUGGCGCACGGGUGAGUAACGCGUAGAUAAUCUGCCUGACGAUCUGGGAUAACACUUCGAAAGAGGUGCUAAUACCGGAUAAGCCCACGGGUUCUUUGGAAUCUGCGGGAAAAGGGGGGGACCUUCGGGCCUUCUGUCGUCAGAUGAGUCUGCGUACCAUUAGCUAGUUGGUAGGGUAAAGGCCUACCAAGGCGACGAUGGUUAGCUGGUCUGAGAGGAUGAUCAGCCACACUGGAACUGAAACACGGUCCAGACUCCUACGGGAGGCAGCAGUGGGGAAUUUUGCGCAAUGGGCGAAAGCCUGACGCAACAACGCCGCGUGAGUGAUGAAGGCUUUCGGGUCGUAAAGCUCUGUCAAUGGGAAAGAAGUGUAUUUUGGCUAAUAUCCUUAAUACUUGACGGUACCCAUAAAGGAAGCACCGGCUAACUCCGUGCCAGCAGCCGCAGUAA